ACGGGGUGCAGCAGGCGCGAAAACUUUACAAUGCUGGCAACAGCGAUAAGGGGACCUCGAGUGCCAGGAUACAAUCCUGGCUGUCGUGAUGCCUAAAAAGCAUUGCAUAGCAAGGGCCGGGCAAGACCGGUGCCAGCCGCCGCGGUAACACCGGCGGCUCGAGUGGUAACCGCUAUCAUUGGGUCUAAAGGGUCUGUAGCCGGCUGAAUAAGUCUCCUGAGAAGUCUGGCAGCUCAACUGUCAGGCUUUCAGGGGAUACUGUUCGGCUCGAGACCGGGAGAGGUGAGAGGUACCUCAGGGGUAGGGGUGAAAUCUUGUAAUCCUUGAGGGACCACCAGUGGCGAAGGCGUCUCACCAGAACGGAUCUGACGGCAAGGGACGAAAGCUAGGGGCACGAACCGGAUUAGAUACCCGGGUAGUCCUAGCCGUAAACGAUGCCCGCUAGGUGUCACGGCGGUCGUGAAUCGCCGUGGUGCCGUAGGGAAGCCGCGAAGCGGGCCACUUGGGAAGUACGGCCGCAAGGCUGAAACUUAAAGGAAUUGGCGGGGGAGCAC
rnacentral:rRNA from 1 species